rnacentral:rRNA from 1 species
GCAUCCUACGGGAGGCAGCAGUGAGGAAUAUUGGUCAAUGGCCGAGAGGCUGAACCAGCCAAGUCGCGUGAGGGAAGACGGCCCUACGGGUUGUAAACCUCUUUUGUCGGGGAGCAAAGCGAGUCACGUGUGACUCAUUGAGAGUACCCGAAGAAAAAGCAUCGGCUAACUCCGUGCCAGCAGCCGCGGUAAUACGGAGGAUGCGAGCGUUAUCCGGAUUUAUUGGGUUUAAAGGGUGCGUAGGCGGACUGGAAAGUCAGCGGUAAAAUCGAGAGGCUCAACCUCUUUCUGCCGUUGAAACUGUG